rnacentral:rRNA from 1 species
UACGGAGGAGGCAAGCGUUAUCCGGAAUUAUUGGGCGUAAAGCGUCCGCAGGUGGCAAUUCAAGUCUGUGGUUAAAGACUGGGGCUUAACCCUGGAAAGGCCAUGGAAACUGAAUAGCUAGAGUGCAGUAGGGGUAGAGGGAAUUCCCGGUGUAGCGGUGAAAUGCGUAGAGCUCGGGAAGAACAUCGGUGGCGAAAGCGCUCUGCUGGACUGCAACUGACACUCAGGGACGAAAGCUAGGGGAGCGAACGGG